CACUCAUCAAGACCGGCUGAGGGAUUAGGCCCUUUGACGCCGGGGCAACCAUCGGGUUUCACCACCCGAAACGGUGCCAACUCCUGCGGGGUCCUUCGGGGUCGCGAGAGAUGAGUG
rfam:Caulobacterales bacterium GWE1_67_11 gwe1_scaffold_3474, whole genome shotgun sequence.